GCGACUGUUAUGUUAGACUGUGGUUCUAGUGACCAAGCAUAGAAGCCGUGAAUGAAUACGUAGCACAUAACUGCAGACACAUUACACGUGUCGUCAUCCGUGUGAGACUGCAGCCAGUACGGGCUUCUCAAUUGUGGUGUGUCUCUCUGUAAUCAUGCAGCGCGAGGAAGCCUGUGCAGUGAGACGUAAAUUGAAACCAAUGUUUACACAUUGAAGAUACGGGAAGGUCUACAAAGCCAAGUAUGGAUAUGCAUUUUUGUUGGUUGUAGACGAAAACAGUGCGUCUACUGGGUACGUAUCGCGCAUAAACUGCUCCACAUUAUUGUGUUUCCAGUCGGGAACCCUCAUUUAAAGAAACACAGUUGCAAGAAACCGACCAAGAUACACCUCCUUCAGGGAGACCGGCACUAAUAAAAAAUAGUGUUACGGCAAAGUGUGCUAAACAUAUGAGACCUUUUAAUGCUGUUUCCGGUGAAAGUUUCAGAGAACUAGGCCAAGAAUUAAUACAUCUCGGUGCGCAUUAUGGAGAAGUUAACGUGUCAGAUGUCAUGCCACAUCCUCUACUAUAAGCAGCCAUGUCAAAGAACAAACUUAUGCAAAACCGAACAGUAUAAUGCCUUCUGUUAUUGCAGAAGUUGUUAAUAAAACAUGUGCUGCGACAGUUGAUAUGUGGACUGAUUCGCAUAAUCAGGUGCACUAUUUGACACUUACAACACAUUACAUUAACACAGAUUGGUAUCUUGUGAACAAUGUUUUAUUUACAACAAAAUUCCCAGACGUUAAUAUUAUGAAUGAAAUUGAAUCGUGAAUGGCUGAUUGGGACAUUCCACCGGACAUGUUGCACAGUUUUGUCUUUGUCUCUGACCAGGGUGCCUGCCAAUGUAAUAAAGGCUUUGGAAAAUCACAAAAGGAUUCCUUGUGCUGCUCAUUGUACAAACACAGCACUUAGCCCUACUUUCGAUGAAGAUAACUUAUUGUUAAAUCAUGCCCCAACAUCGCAUCAACAAUAAAUACUGCAAAAUGCAUUGUAAAGUACAUUAAGAAAAGUGACCUUUGCUCGUCUUUGAAAUCUUCGUUGAAACCUUGUUUCUGCACACGCUGGAACAGCUUGUACACUAUGCUGUAAUCCUUACGCACUCAGUAUAACGAAGCUGCUGCUUUGCUGACGGAAAAGGACUCUGCUUACAGAUCGCAAGGAUAUGAUAAUGAGCUUGUAGGAAAAAUUGCGCAUUUUCUGAGACCAUUUAAAGAGGCCACAGAUGAGUUAGAAGGCGAAAAAGAACCGACAAUCCAGUUAGUUCUUCAUUGGUUUCACAAACUGCAACAAAUUUGCAGUGUCAAUGACACUGACUGUCAGGCGGGAGGUACAAAGGAUUAAAAAUCGAGCAUUGACUUUCGCUGGUGAGAAGAUUGUGAUCACUUCCAGGCAUAAAAUUGCUACGUUUCCUUGGCCGUCUUUCCGUGAGCUUAAUAUGCCUGAAAUAAAUGAAAAGCAGGAAAUUCUUAGCAAUGUGCAACAAAUGUGUGCUACUUACGCAGAUCCUUCAAGUAUUGUGUCACCACCACCCAGAAAGAGAGAUCGUUUCAAGGAAUGGGGGAACAGAUCAUCCGCAACAGAUGAAGUAUAACUCUACAUUUUUAUGCACCCCGGAGAUGAUGAUGACAUCUUAGAAUGGUGGAGCAGACAUAAAACAGAUUUGGCAGGCCUGGCUGCAGUUGCAAGAACGUAUUUUAUGUAUCCCAGCAACAAGCGCACCUAAUGAAAGAUGCUUUAGUAAAACUGGCAUGUUACUAACAAAUCGCCGCAGCCAAUUAAAUCCGGAACGCGUUAGUGAUUUACUGCUGAUCAACAAUAACUAUAAUUUUGUUUCUGUUGCAAACAAGUGAAAAGUAUGACAAAGUACGUCUGUAAAUGUUUAAUGUUCUUUGUAUGCUUUCUUUAUGAAGAUGGUUGUCUUCUAGGUUUACAAGGACAG